rnacentral:rRNA from 1 species
UACGAAGGGAGCUAGCGUUGUUCGGAAUCACUGGGCGUAAAGCGCACGUAGGCGGAUGUGUCAGUCAGGGGUGAAAUCCCGGAGCUCAACUUCGGAACUGCCUUUGAUACAGCACGUCUUGAGUCCGAUAGAGGUGGGUGGAAUUCCUAGUGUAGAGGUGAAAUUCGUAGAUAUUAGGAAGAACACCGGUGGCGAAGGCGGCUCACUGGCUCGUAACUGACGCUCAGGCGCGACAGCGUGGGGAUCAAACAGG